rnacentral:lncRNA from 1 species
GUGAUUUUUCAAAUUCACGUCACUGUGCUGCCUGAAUUCUGUUUCUUUGCAAAAUUUUAUCCUUUCAUGAUUUCCAUGCAUAAUUUAUCACCUAAUCUUUCAUAACAACAAAUACCUUCAUCCUUAAUCAUUUUAAUAACCAUACAUCAUCAAAUACUUACACAUCACUCAUUAGCAAAAUCAUCACUACAAACAUACAAAAUAACUAAAUCCCUAUACAUGCCAUAACUUAAACGUGUUUCGAUAUAAAAUACCGAACAGUUGUAGUUGAUAGUGUGGACGAUCUCCGACUUCUUUAGGAUCCUUGAAGUAGCUUUGCAAUACUAUAAGAGAAAGAGAAAUAAAAGAAGUAAGCACUAGCAAAUAAAUAACAAUAUUUAACUUAAAUAAUUAAACUCAAUGUCUAUAUCUCUAGUUUACUCUUUAGUUAAUCUCAUACUAGUUCUCUUACUUGUUUACUUAGAAUAUUUGUGUGCAUAACUUACUCAAUCCUUGCUGCAUCGUUGAACAUCAAUUGAUAGUAUAAUAAGUUCUUAAGUCUUACAACUUACCUGAGCUUGCCAUUUAUGCUUUAAACUGAACUUUCAUGAACAUGAUUCGUUUACAAGCCCGUUGAACUACAUUGGAAUAAUAAGGAUACUCGGGUCUCUUCUGAUAAUAACAUGCCAAAGCCAUGUCCCAGACAUGGUCUUAUAGGGGAGCUCUCAUCUCGGUGCCAACGCCAUGUCCCAGACAUGGUCUUACAUGGGACCUCUCGUCUCGGUGCCCAUGCCAUGUCCCAGACAUGGUCUUACAGGGGACCUCUCAUGAUCUUAAGGAUGCCAAUGCCAUGUCCCAGACAUGGUCUUACAUGGGAUCUCUUUACCCAAAUGUCAUGACAUUCGUAUCCAGUACCAUCCUUAUGUAUCAACGGGACUUUUAAAUUUUUAUUCUCUAUCAUUUCAUGCUUGGAUCAUCAUCAAAUAAAUUCAUAAUUGCUGGAAAUUAACAGCAUUAAUAAUAAAUAUUGAAAUAUUGCAUUUAUUUACCGUAAACUUACCUCGGUACCAAUUAUAGCCAAAUUCACCAACUUAGUCUUCAACUUUAUUCUUCCCUUUGUCUAACCUCGAGUUUCGUACUUCUUGAUCUAAAAUAGUAAAUUUAACUUAUUUAAUAAUCACAUUCAUCAAAAUAGCCAUCGACUCUAACUUUUUCAAAAUUACAAUUUUGCCCCUAAACUUUUACAUAAUUACAUUUUUGCCCCAAGGCUCGGAAAUUAAACUUCAUCUCUUAUUCUUAUGUUUUAUAACAUUCUGAACAUUUUUCCCUUCUAUGGCAACAUCAAAUUCUAAUUUAAUCCCUUAUCAAUACUAAUUUUAUUUUUGCAUUCUAACUCUAUAUUCUCUCUUAAUUCUUACUAUAAACUCAGUUUAAUUCUUCAAUUUCCCCAUAAAUCCCUAAUUUCGGGAUUCUUUCAAUUUAAUUCCUAUCAAUUCAAAACUUAUGUUUUAUUUUACAAAUCAACCUUUUACUAACUUUUAACUUAAAGUUCAAUCAUUUUAACAUCUAAUUCAUCAAUUAAUUCAACAUGAACAACAUCUAAUAACCUACUAACUUCCAAAAUUUCCACUUAAAUCAAGUAGUAUUUUGCUCUAGGAUUCCAAAAAAUAUCAAAACCAUAAGAAAAAGGGACUAAAUUGACUUACCAAUUGAAUUUAGAAGUUUUAAAACCCCUGAACCGUCGCUCUUUCUUUUUCUUCUUUCUCCCUUCUCUGUUUCGUUUUGCUCUCUGUUUCUUUCUUUCUCAUUUCUAUUCUUUCUUUUGUUAUAUAUAUAUAUAUAAUAUAAUAUAAUAUAAAAUAUU